UUAACAUAUGGCCGCCAAGUUUCUUUUUUGUUAAUACGUCUAUUUGUAAAAUCGACUAGCUAGUUGAUGUUUUAUAUACAAUCCAAUAUUUAAAAUUUAUUUAUUUAACCAUUUUUUAACCACGAAAAAUGAUUUUUAAUGAUGUCGAAAAUCAAUAAAAAUACUUGUAUAAAAUUAUGGAUACAAUAAAAAACAAAUUGGAAUUAUGAUUUUAUUGGACUGGAUUAAUUAAUAGCACGUGAUUAAAUUUUUAAUAUAAUAAAUAAAACCUUAACUAGGAAGUCAAAAUAUUAAUGCUUACUUGUUGGUAUUGGUGGCAUGCGAAAAAUUCUGUUUCAUCUUGACAAUCCUUAUGCACUGAUCUGGAUUCUGCAUUUUUAUCUAAGCACGACAGUUGGCAACUAUCUGACUUGGCCACAUCGCAGCAUUUCCUCGCAGCUUCUAACCAUUUUAUCUCAGAAUCUGUGACACAUACGCACGAAUAUAUGAGUCACGUCCAUGCAAAAAACGGCAUCCUGAGAAAAUAGCUUUGCUAAUUAAUAGCAGUGGCGCAUUUUUCUGGAGCUGCUAUUAAAAGUUUGGUGACUUAUCAAGCGAUUUAUGCUUACAUAGAACAAUUUAAUAAUAAUAUGGAUGAGUUAAAGUCACUUUUAAUAUGAAGUUUAUUACUACAGUAAAAGUUUUAACAAAUAUUAAAUAUCGUAUAAAUAAUUUACAUUUUAAGACAGAACAUCAAAAUUUAAGUAUAAAAAGUUUAUCAAUUUUUAGUCCAGAACGGAGUUAAGUAUUUUUGCGGGUCUUCAGAUUACAAUCGUUCGAACAUGGACCAAACUUUGUUUUUUUCUUUGUCAGAUUAAUGAAAUGUGUAGAUGUUGACUGCAAUGUAUAUAUGUCCCUCCUGCAUAUCAAAAAAUAACAAGUCUGCCUCAUUGCUACAGUGAAGGUCUCAUAACUCCGAACGCCCCGCUGAGAAUUAUUUUACAGUCUAUCCUUUAUUGUAUUAUUUAAUUUUAUUAUAACCUGUGACGUUUUUAUACCUGUUAAACAGCGUAUCCUUCGAAAAACUAUGUGUGAUCGUUACUUUUAUUGUUUAUGUGUUUAAUAUAAAUGUAAAAUUAUGUGCGCUAUUAAAAUUAAAUAAACAAUUAAUAAAUAUCUUCAGAUGUAUAUGCUUUUAAAAUUAAAUGUC